rnacentral:rRNA from 1 species
CCUACGGGAGGCAGCAGUGAGGAAUAUUGGUCAAUGGACGAGAGUCUGAACCAGCCAAGUAGCGUGAAGGAUGACUGCCCUAUGGGUUGUAAACUUCUUUUAUAAAGGAAUAAAACGAGGCACGUGUGCCUUUUUGCAUGUACUUUAUGAAUAAGGAUCGGCUAACUCCGUGCCAGCAGCCGCGGUAAUACGGAGGAUCCGAGCGUUAUCCGGAUUUCUUGGGUUUAAAGGGAGCGUAGAUGGGUUGUUAAGUCAGUUGUGAAAGUUUGCGGCUCAACCGUAAAAUUGCAAUUGAUACUGGCAGUCUUGAGUACAGUUGAGGUAGGCGGAAUUCGUGGUGUAGCGGUGAAAUGCUUAGAUAUCACGAAGAACUCCGAUUGCGAAGGCAGCUUACUAAACUGCCACUGACAUUGAUGCUCGAAAGUGUGGGUAUCAAACAGGAUUAGAUACCCCUGUAGUC